CAGGACAACCUUUACUGUGGUCGCACAAAUAUAAAUGAAGACCUGCUGAGAACUGGAGACCUCAGUCUGACCCUGAAAUACCCCACAGAGAGAGACAGUGGAGGAUACAUCUGCAUCAUCUACAGGGACAAAGACAUCCUGAGACAGAAAGUAGUGCUGCAGGUCAAAGAACGAUCUUGGGCCAGAGU